GACGAACCGUGCGAACGUUGUUUGGAAUCACUGGGCUUAAAGGGCGCGUAGGCGGGCUGCCAAGUCCGGGGUGAAAUCUUUCGGCCCAACCGGAAAAGUGCCUUGGAUACUGGCGGCCUGGAGGGAGGCAGGGGCGGAUGGAACUUCCGGUGGAGCGGUGAAAUGCGUUGAUAUCGGAAGGAACGCCGGUGGCGAAAGCGAUCCGCUGGACCUCUUCUGACGCUGAGGCGCGAAAGCCAGGGGAGCAAACGGG
rnacentral:rRNA from 1 species